rnacentral:rRNA from 1 species
GACGAACGCUGGCGGCGUGCCUAAUACAUGCAAGUCGAGCGGACCAAAGGGAGCUUGCUCCUGGAGGUUAGCGGCGAACGGGUGAGUAACACGUGGGCAACCUGCCUGUAAGACUGGGAUAACAUCGAGAAAUCGGUGCUAAUACCGGAUAAUAAAAAGAACUGCAUGGUUCUUUUUUGAAAGAUGGUUUCGGCUAUCACUUACAGAUGGGCCCGCGGCGCAUUAGCUAGUUGGUGAGGUAACGGCUCACCAAGGCAACGAUGCGUAGCCGACCUGAGAGGGUGAUCGGCCACACUGGGACUGAGACACGGCCCAGACUCCUACGGGAGGCAGCAGUAGGGAAUCUUCCGCAAUGGACGAAAGUCUGACGGAGCAACGCCGCGUGAGUGAUGAAGGUUUUCGGAUCGUAAAAACUCUGUUGUUAGGGAAGAACAAGUGCCGUUCGAAAGGGCGGCACCUUGACGGUACCUAACGAGAAAGCCACGGCUAACUACGUGCCAGCAGCCGCGGUAA